AUUGAACGCUGGCGGCAGGCCUAACACAUGCAAGUCGAGCGAGCGGCGGACGGGUGAGUAAUGUAUGGGGACUGCCCGAUAGAGGGGGAUAACUACUGGAAACGGUGGCUAAUACCGCAUACUAUCGGAUAACCCAUAUGGGAUUAGCGAGUAGGUAAGGUAAUGGCUUACCUAGGCGACGAUCCCUAGCUGUGCUGAGAGGAUGAUCAGCCACACUGGUACUGAGACACGGCCCAUACUCCUACGGAGGCAGCAGUGGGGAAUAUUGCACAAUGGGCGCAAGCCUGAUGCAGCCAUGCCGCGUGUAUGAAGAAGGCCCUAGGGUUGUAAAGUACUUUCAGUCGGGAGGCGUUACCCACAGAAGAAGCACCGGCUAACUCCGUGCCAGCCGCCGCGGUAAUAC
rnacentral:rRNA from 1 species